rnacentral:rRNA from 1 species
UACGUAGGGUGCGAGCGUUGUCCGGAAUUAUUGGGCGUAAAGGGCUCGUAGGCGGUUUGUCGCGUCGGGAGUGAAAUCCACUGGCUUAACUGGUGGCUGCUUUCGAUACGGGCAGACUGGAGGUAUGCAGGGGAGAACGGAAUUCCUGGUGUAGCGGUGAAAUGCGCAGAUAGCAGGAGGAACACCGGUGGCGAAGGCGGUUCUCUGGGCAUGUCCUGACGCUGAGGAGCGAAAGUGUGGGGAGCGAACAGG